UACGGAGGGUGCGAGCGUUACUCGGAAUUACUGGGCGUAAAGGGCGCGUAGGCGGCCGUGCAAGUCUGGUGUGAAAGCCCAGGGCUUAACCCUGGAAGUGCACUGGAAACUGUGCGGCUUGAGUGCCGGAGAGGAGGGGGGAAUUCCCGGUGUAGCGGUGAAAUGCGUAGAUAUCGGGAGGAAUACCGGUGGCGAAGGCGCCCCUCUGGACGGUAACUGACGCUGAGGCGCGAAAGCGUGGGGAGCAAACAGG
rnacentral:rRNA from 1 species